UUAACAGUGUUAAUAAUGUUUUGUAGUUUCUGUUCAUGUGGCAAGGGAAAGCUAGGUACAUAAGAAGCUUGGCUGCCCGUUAUUAAGACUAGAGAAGGCUCAAGACUGAAAGGUGAAGCCAGCUUUUGUUGCCCAUUUCAGGGCUCACUAUGAGGUCUGGAUCUACACAUGAUGAUGCAGCCGUCUAUACCAUGGUAGCUCCUCUUUCCCACAUGGACCUGAUUUUAUUUAUUUUUUUAAUUUUUUCCAGCAAGAGCUCGGGUAGUGGUUGGAGACCAGUUACUUCGUGGAUGUAUGGAUGGAUGAAUGAAUAGGUUUAUCUACUUGAUUUUGUGAAUACACCUGUUACCUAUAAUGCAUGCAUAGCCAAGGGACUUGUACAAUCCUUGGGUAUGCAUGUUACCCCGUUUGGUUUUCCUUUUGGUACAAAUUGGGAAGAUUUAGUGAUUCAAAUCAUUGGUAUGAUGGAACUCACCAUGCAACGAAAAUCCCCCAUAUCCUAGGUGUAUAUAUGUUAUAUUUUUUCGUUUUCUUGGCUUAUCUAAUGCAAGGUAAAUACAACUGGGUGGAUGAGCACGUAUGUAGCCAUGGUAAUUGCACAGUCCUUAGGUGGAGAAGUUUGUUACCAUUUAUAUUUUCAGUUGGAUAAGUAGGGCUACGAUUCGCUGGUUCCUAUCUUUGAUGCGAUGAGCUUCAUGUGGAUGGAUCAUGCAGGAAAAGAUCUUAGUGUAUGAUAUUUCUUUCGUUUUCUUUAUAGAAUGUGAGCCACUGCUA